AUGCCUGUGGUGAAGCGAGUUUUGUCCCUGCUGGCAGUCCACAGGUGAGACCUUCGCUUGGAGUCGAAGGAGAGCCAAGAGGGGUGAAAGGAGACCCCCUUGUGUCAUGAAAGAACCUCGCUUGGAGGACAAGUGGCCGAGGGGCUUGGA